rnacentral:rRNA from 1 species
CCUACGGGUGGCAGCAGUGAGGAAUAUUGGUCAAUGGGCGGGAGCCUGAACCAGCCAAGUCGCGUGAGGGAAGACGGUCCUACGGAUUGUAAACCUCUUUUGUCGGGGAGCAACGCCGUCUUCGUGUGGGCGCGAUGAGAGUACCCGGAGAAAAAGCAUCGGCUAACUCCGUGCCAGCAGCCGCGGUAAUACGGAGGAUGCGAGCGUUAUCCGGAUUUAUUGGGUUUAAAGGGUGCGUAGGCGGACUGCUAAGUCAGCGGUCAAAUGUCGGGGCUCAACCUCGCCCCGCCGUUGAAACUGGCGGCCUCGAGUGGGCGAGAAGUAUGCGGAAUGCGUGGUGUAGCGGUGAAAUGCAUAGAUAUCACGCAGAACUCCGAUUGCGAAGGCAGCAUACCGGCGCCCGACUGACGCUGAGGCACGAAAGCGUGGGUAUCGAACAGGAUUAGAUACCCGUGUAGUC